UUCCGGCCAUAUCACAUCGAAAUAACGGUUCCCUUACGAUCACCUAAGUUAAACAACAUCACGCCUAGUCAAUACUUAGAUGGGUAAUCGCUUAGGAAUACGAGGUGCAGUAAG